UACAGAGGUCCCAAGCGUUGUUCGGAUUCACUGGGCGUAAAGGGUGCGUAGGUGGUGGGGUAAGUUUGAUGUGAAAUCUCCGGGCUUAACCCGGAAACUGCAUCGAAUACUAUCUCGCUCGAGGGUUGGAGGGGAGACUGGAAUACUUGGUGUAGCAGUGAAAUGCGUAGAUAUCAAGUGGAACACCAGUGUCGAAGGCGAGUCUCUGGACAACUCCUGACACUGAGGCACGAAAGCUAGGGGAGCAAACAGG
rnacentral:rRNA from 1 species